GGGUGAGUAAUGUCUGGGAAACUGCCUGAUGGAGGGGGAUAACUACUGGAAACGGUAGCUAAUACCGCAUAACGUCGCAAGACCAAAGAGGGGGACCUUCGGGCCUCUUGCCAUCGGAUGUGCCCAGAUGGGAUUAGCUAGUAGGUGGGGUAACGGCUCACCUAGGCGACGAUCCCUAGCUGGUCUGAGAGGAUGACCAGCCACACUGGAACUGAGACACGGUCCAGACUCCUAC
rnacentral:rRNA from 1 species